rnacentral:rRNA from 1 species
AACGAACGCUGGCGGCAGGCCUAACACAUGCAAGUCGAACGCCGUAGCAAUACGGAGUGGCAGACGGGUGAGUAACGCGUGGGAACAUACCCCUCGGUUCGGAAUAACUCAGGGAAACUUGAGCUAAUACCGGAUACGUCCGAGGUUUUGAUCGACCUUGGAGAAAGAUUUAUCGCCGAAGGAUUGGCCCGCGUCUGAUUAGCUUGUUGGUGAGGUAAUGGCUCACCAAGGCGACGAUCAGUAGCUGGUCUGAGAGGAUGAUCAGCCACAUUGGGACUGAGACACGGCCCAAACUCCUACGGGAGGCAGCAGUGGGGAAUAUUGGACAAUGGGCGAAAGCCUGAUCCAGCCAUGCCGCGUGAGUGAUGAAGGCCUU